AUAGUCCGCAGUGGUCCGGAC
rnacentral:siRNA from 1 species